CUGAGGGAGCGCGGCCCUGCGUCUCAGAGAUCCCUGAGAUGGGGGCGCAGCUGCCUGACGCCCUCGCCCGCCGGCAGGAGACCACGCCCCCACCCCGGAAGCUAUUUCUACAGCUUCCGGCUUUGGUUCCCCUCAGUCCGCUCCCAUCUCCGGCAUGAAUCUCACGUGUCUGCGGGCAGAGGCUGCGACAGGCCGCACGACGGCAGGGCCUGCAUCUCUCCCGGCCCCGCUAACAAGAGAACAGAAGUGGCCAGAAGGAGUCACGUCGUUUCUUUUGUUUACUCUGUAUCUUCAGAACCUGCGCUGUGCCUGGAAUGCCAUAGGCACUCAUGUUCUGGCCUGGAGAAUCCCAGGGACCGGGGAGCCUGGUGGGCUGCCGUCUGUGGGGUUGCACAGAGAUGGACACGACUGAAGCGACGCAGCAGCAGCAGCAGCAGCAGCAGCAUAAGAUCAUAUCUUUUUGAUUUGCAAUGGAAAAACUGUGUCACUGUUUUUUCC
ensembl:lncRNA